GAGUUGCCUUUGUAUGCUGGGAGGACCAAGCCGGAGGUUCCCACUAUGAGCCCGGAGUCUGUGCAGCCAGAUGACGCAUGAGCUCUAUUCAAAAUACUCAAGAUUUGGAAGCAACCUAAGUGUACAUCAGCAGACAAAUGGAUAAAGAAAAUGUGGUACCUAUACAAAAUGGAGUACUAUUCAGCUGUAAAAAAGAAUGAGAUCCUGUCAUUUGCAACAACAUGCAUGGAACUGGAGGUCGUUAUGCCUCUGCCUCUGAAUGUGAAGGAAAACUGGACCAGCUCAGUGUCAAGCCUACAGACAUUUCCUUGUUCCUGGGGACUGAGCAGUUUGAAGUCUCCAAAGAUGAAAACAUCUACUCUGAAGAGACCUGAAUGGACAAGAGAUGUUUUCCUCUUCCUUACCAUAAUAAAAGAGGACUGCUCCUGACCACAGGAUAUGCCUGGUCCAGGAAAUGGCCACAUUUCCUCCCUCAGGACCUCUACUUGGAUGGACUGUCUUGGAAAUAAGUAUACUGGAUUGGAAACCCAUUCAAUCUGAUGUCUGCUGAGGAAUGGAGAAGGACCACUGGUGAUUCCUCCAUCCUCACUCCUGUGUCCCUCCUUGCAUUGCAAGUGCUUUACAAGUCUUCCCGAUAGACCAUGAGCAUCCUGAGGGCUGGUAUCAAAUUUAACUCAUCUCCUAUCCUCAGUGCCUCAUACAAGAUGCUGGAUGUAGGAGGAGUUCAGAAGCUCCCACUGAGGCAGAAUCACAGCGAUUUGGAAAAUGGUCCAAUCAGCUAUAGUGGAAGAGCAGAAUCACUGAAUAUAAAACAUGGUCAUGUCAGCAGCAGGGGCUGCGGGCUGAACAGCUUCACUGGGAAGAGGAUAUGGGUGAGAAGGUACAGCAAUGGGUACCUCCAUGAACAGAUAAGCUGGAUCCUCAAUAGGAAUAGGCACUAGCUGGUUUUGGAUGAAGGUGUCGUAAGAUCAGAUACAUUUUUGGGUGAUCAGCAUGAUCUGGGUAUGGACAUGGCAGAGCAGGUGGAAGGGAAGGGACCAAUAUGUGUCAAUAACCAUCUAUGAGCCAGGCACUUACCGGGAAGUAUAAUGUCUUUGUAGUUAGACAGACCAGUAGUGUCUGCUGCUCUGGAGGAAGUUACUUAAACUCACCAAGACUCAGUUUUCUCUGUAUUAAAAUGAUGACACCUACCUCACUAUCUGGCCUUUGGGAUUAAAUAUGAGAAUAUGUGUGAAAAUUUAUGUCAUGUGGUAAGCACUCAGAUGUUUCCUGGAGGAACAGCAUGGUGUGGAUUAGGAACAUCCAAACUCUAACAUCAAACUGAACUUUUGAAAUAGAGGCCUCCCUGCUCACUAGUUGGGCAAUGUUGAACAAGCUAGUUAAACUAUCUAGACCUCAGUUUUGUUAUCUGGUGAGAUUAAUAGCAUUGAAUGGUGUAAAGCACAUUCUCAGUAAAUGCUCAUUAUUAUUAUUAUAGUUAUUAAUGUUUAUUUAACUUUGAAAUAAUAAUGUGUAGGAGCUCCUCAGGUAGAUAAUGGAAAUAAGAAAUUUCUUAGGGCAUGGAAGCAUGGAGGUAUGGAAAAUUUUGGAGAACAAAGAGGAGUCCGGUGAAGUAGGGUGGGGAUACUGGGCAGAUGCAAAGAUUGGCAAGGGUUAUAUCAUAAAGGCCGGGAUACCAGCCUGGCAUCAAGUGCCUUAGAUUGGGAAGAUGCAAAACGGUGGUCCAGAGUCAGCCCUGCAGAGGCCUGUUUCCUGACUUUCCAUCUUCAAUCUCUUUUCUAUGCAGUUACCAGAGUCACGUUUUGAAAUCUCAGAUCUGAGCAUCUAUCCUCAAAUAGAGCCCUACAUGGCUCCCAGUUCCUCCAGGAGAAGGUCCAAAUCCCUUAAGAUGACCUUAAGGCCCUCAAGUGUUCCAGGUUCUGUAUGUUCUUGCUGCCACAACUACGCCACAACAAAACAGUUUUUCCCCCAUUUCUACUUUGUUUUUCCAGUUGUAGAGUCAAAGCCUCAAGA
rnacentral:lncRNA from 1 species